CUCCGCUGCGCUCCUACAGUUGGGCCCUUCUUUCUCCACCUCCCUCCCCCUCCCGCGCGUUGCUCCGGCUUGUGUUCCCGGGUUCCCUCCCCGGCGCGUCUUUCCCGGCCCGCCCGGUGCAUUGUGGGCUGACGUCUUGGUUUGGCUGUCUAGUGACGGAGGCUGCCGGGUCCGCUGGACCCUUGCGGAGUCUGUCGGAGGCGGGCUCAAGUUCAGGGCUGGGGACCCAGACCGAGACGCGGGGAUCCAGAAAGCUGGGGAGACGCGCUGGUGGCCUGGGGCGGAGGGCUUGGGUGGGAGUAGAGGUUACACACACACACACACACACACACACACACACACACACACACACACACACACACACGAACACACGAACACACCCGUGAAAGGGCUGAAUGAUCUGGGCGAUUGAAGCUGGCUCCGCACCCCCGCACUUCCGGGAGACAGAGCGACGCGGGUUAAUAUGGUUGUGUUCGCCCCGGGUGCGGGAGCGGCAAGUGGGUUGAAGUUGAGCGGGUUUGAGAGUGGCCCUCCCACGCCGAGUGCGCAUGGAAGUUUAGUUUCGGAGAAGGAUCUGCGCCGCAGUGUGCUGUGCUGGAAACCAGAGAUUUGCUGUGCUCGGAAUGAAUUCACCAGGGUCCCCGGCACAACACUUCAUUUUCUGGGGACGUGCCGGGAGGGGUUCGCUUUACCUCGGAGGGACCCCCUUCUAGGUGUGAAAGAUGCCACCCCGGCUCCUUGGGGUAUGGAAAGCAACAUAUAAAGGUUCGAAACUCAGGAAACCCCAGCGCUCGCCUGCACUAGCACAUACACACAGCCCCGCGCACACUCAGUUCGCGCCCGCCCUUCCUCCCUCCCUGAUUUGCUUCUGGGAAAACAAGCCUUGAGAGCUGCGGACUCGCCCCGAGUCACGGUGCUUAAGCAGGAGUCCCUGGUAGAAAGACUGAAAAAUCCCCUCCCCGCUCGAUGGUGGAUUCAUAUCCUGUGCGGCCUCUAGGAAGCGCUAGACACAUCUAUCUUGGGAGGCAUACAUUUUUACCUAGACUUUUCGUGGAAGGAAAUGGUCCCAGAAAGUUCAUGCGUCUUGCUUGGGGUAUACAGACAGCUGGAAAGUGAGCUCAGGCUUGCUUCAGAAAGUCACACAUCUUCCCAUGUCACCUGACAAUACAAGGGACUUCAAGGACAUACAGAAGAACAGAGUCCUUGGUCUCUGAAUGACCCUGUGGAAGGAUACUCACUGGCCAGAAGUAGUCCUUCCAGACUUUGAAUGACAAAUCAACUUCAUUGUGCUGGUCCACUGGGAUUUUGGAGUAAAGAUGGCAAUAUCUUCUAAUUCCACUUGGUGUUUAGGAUGCCCUUCAUAAGAAGAAACCCUGGGUCAAAGUUGAGGCUUAUGUUCUGGCUUUCCCAGCUUGAAAAGAAAGAAACUUGUAUACUGUCACCUUCCUAUUGAGGGUGCAAACUUCAUGAGGUAUGUUAGGUAUGUGUUUGUCUUUUUCUGUUUCUCAUCUUUGAGUGGGUGUUUAUUGAAAUGCCAGGUGCUUUUCAGUUGUAUUUCUGAAUGCAAGCAGUACAUAUUGUUAAACAUUUUAUUAAUAUAUUCAAUAUUUUUGAGUGUUUAUUGCAUUUUAGCAACUGGUAAUCAUUGCUAAGCAAGAGCUUCUCGGCAUGCCCAUUGGAGGAGGUAUAGCAAGGGAAAUGGAUGAGAGAGAAGACAGGGUGAGGCCAGCCUGAUAGUGUUCUGAGUUACAGGAUUCCUGUGUGGAAGGGCCUCUCUGCUAAGGAAAGAGGUUGAAGAAAGUGCUUUGGAAAAACUGGUUAAUCAGCAGAAACUUCCAAAGUAGGUGGGAAUAGCUGGAAGAAGAGGAGACGUCAGAGAGGACGUAUUCUAGGAAGAGGGGAUGUAGAUGUUACGGACCAGGGCAUAUUUGGAGCUGUAAAGGAGGGGUGAGGUGGAGGGACUUGGAAUAGAUACAUCUGUGCACAUGCUUAAAAGCCUUGGUAGGCUUUAUAAUGUGGUCAAGCACCAUAUGAAAAGUGUUUAUUUUCCUAGGAGAAGAUGUACCACAGCCAUCAGGAUGUAGCCAUUUGUGUAGUUUCUACUUUAUUGUGUUAUGCUCUUUGUUUCAGAGUUUUCUACAGUGAACAUGCUUUACACUUGCAGAUAGAUAGAUAGAUAGAUAGAUAGAUAGAUAGAUAGAUAGAUAACCCCAACAUGUUUUCCAUCUGAUUAGUUGUGAUCCUAUCACCUGGCCCUUGAAAGAAGUCCUCUGGAAGAGCUGAGGCACAGAGAUGAUUUCCAGUGAAGCUCAAAGUCGUUCAUGGAGAUGUUAUUGGAUUGCGCUGGGGACCGCAGUUCCUUGAUAAUGAGUAAUUGUUUGCUCAAGCUUUAGCCAAGUGUAAAUAUAAAUAUAACCGGGAUGGUUUACCCGUCCAUUGCCAUCCAUGCACUACUGUACCGAGUGCUGUGGCUGACGUGAGAACUGAAUGCAUGGAGCUGCAAUGGUGGACUCCAGGCCUGCUUCGUCAUCGUCAGAUAUGUCAUUUAACAGCUGAGCCUCGCUUUCCUCACAUGAAAAAUGAUUGCGAUGAUUGAUAUUUACCUCAGAGAAUUUAAAUGGGACUGCCACCGUACCUAUGGGAAAGUCACUGCUGAACUGGUGACAUUUCUGUAUAUAUGUAUGUUAUUUAGUGUUUAUAUAUUUAUACGUGGAUUCCUGAAAUAGCAGUUCCGCAGAGUUGAGCAUUAGAAAACAGCUGGUCUUUUGCAAGGCCCAGUUUGAGGCAGACCAUACAAGCUGCUAGAAUACCCUGGCCACAGUGUUAAGACAAAACUGAAAGAAACACAAACUGAAAGAGAUUUGAAUGAGGAAAUACACCCACACUUACAUGCUAACAGCUAAUAGGGGACUUUACUUUGAAGCUAGCCAAGGUUGCUUGACAGAAGGCUGAGAAAAGAUGAGGCUGCUGAGUGAAGCCAGAGAGAUUAUGCUCAAAGUCAAGUAGAUACCAUACAAUAAGCUUUUCCAAGGUCUAUCAUCUUGGGAGGAAAAACAAACCAAACCAAAACCCUUAUAUUGCUGUCUUCCCACUGGUCAGCAGACUUUCAGUAACUCUGCCUUGCUGUAAGGUGCAUCACAGUGUUGUGCAUUAGAGCAGUGUGGGCCACACAGGCAACUGGCAUGUUUCAAACUUCCACAGAUUUCUUGGCUUCAUUAUCAGGAGAAGUAUGCGAUCCCAUAGGUAAUGUUCAGUAAGAGAUGUAUCUGUCCUGCCCCGUCUCAGACUGAUCACGUUCUGCCCUCUGUCUCCUUGGCUGUAGGGCUCCUCUUCACUGGCUGUGAACUCCUUAAGUAAGGUUCCUGAUGUUCAUGUUUGUUCUCUAAGGUUGAGCACAGGGUCGGUCCCUGGAACAGAGCCGUUGCAUUGCAGUUGAACUUCUAGUAGCCAAGGCAAACCUCUGGACCCUCUGUGGUAGCACCAGGAUCCACCAACAGGCAACACAAGCUGAGGCCCGGAGGCUUCUGUGGGACCAUGUAUGAUUCCACUUCAUCUCCUGCAACCCUGUUGCUCUCCAAUAUGGCAAGAGGAGCAUUGGGUCUUCCUCCUUUGUUAAGACAUUUAUACCAGUUGAGCAAGAAGUCGGUGCUAGAGCGGCAGCAGCCGGUUUGGAGCGCAGUCUCUUCCUCAUGGAACCCUGGCCGGAUCACUGGUCUUCACCACCACUGUAAACUUCUAAAUUCCCUCUUGUUAAACAAAUUAGAGUGGGUUCAAGGUUAUAUUUUGAUAUUAAUAGUUUUACCCUCAUCGCCCCGUGAUCAAAGAGAAAAGGGUAAGGGGACAACUAUCAGCUGGAACUGUAGUACACUUUCCUUCUCUUACAGACCUAGUGCUUCCAAUGCGCCCUGGCUGUCUCUCCACACUCUCAAGGUCUUCUUCACUCAUCUUCUUGGCUGUGUGGAUCUGAAAACACACAGCGUUUGUCCGUAAUCUCAUCCUCAUCCACACUGACUGUGGAUAACCGGAUGUGUUUUGUGAGGCCCCUCAGUCUCAACAUGGUUUUACAGACUCGGUCCUAAGCAGAUAAAACAACUAAGCUUCACAGAGGUGAGGUAACUUCCUCUGCCAUCCAGGUGGAUGGUCAGGGUCAGGAGCCUCGUGAGUGAGAACAACAGGUCUGUCGAGUUCUGCAGGGCUGAGCUGUUUAUCAUUGCGGAGGACACUCAUCACUGUGCUAAUUACAUUAAUUGCUGCCCACUCUGAGGCUAGCUCCUUCCUGCAAUGGCCCAAGACUGUAAUUACAGGUUGGAUUGGUUGGAAGUUGGUUGCUCUCUACCAUGUAGGGGAAAGGUCAAGACUAUGAACAUUGCUCUUCAUCAGACGCCUUACUGGAAGCAGAGAGGAAGGAUGAGGGUUCCUGUGGUAAUCUCAUGAUUCUCUAGAAGCAGGUGCUCUCCUACCCUCAUUCUGUUUGAGGGAGCCUGGUCAGCUGCUUGGAGUCCAAGAGCUAGCGGGAGAGGAGACAGUCUGAAAGCAGGAACCAUCAGAAGUCAUCCUUAGUGCCCAUAACAUAGUACCCCUCACCAGGACACUGCUCUGUCUGACACUGAAGUAUUGGCAGGGUCGGGCAAGGUGCCAACAAGUGGGUUUUGUCUAUCCCUAAAUGAUGACUGCUUGAGAUCUCACCUGCUCUGCCUUCCUUCCUGAGAUUCCAAGAGAAAUUGCUUGGAAGUGUAUUAAAUGCAAACUAAGUCAGAUGUAAGCCAUGGUGUUUUUCUGUUUGAUCUGUUAAGAGGUAAUUUGGAGACUACUUCUGCAUACUUGUUGAACAGAGACAGAGUGGCUUUGGUAAUUCAUCAUAAUUGAGUAAGUGACUUAACUUCCACAGAAAGCAGAGGAUAAUUUGGGAAGUCACUGGCUUUGGAAUGCUGUAUGUUCAUGUACUUUAUGGGUGUGCCCAUAUCAUUUGUGUGGGUAUAAAUGUCAAUGAGUUUGUGUGUGUGUAUGUGUGUGCAUGCGUACUCAUGUAUACGGGUGUGUGUGUGUGUGUGUGUGUUCCUGUCACACUUCCUGCCAGAGUUCAAAUUUGAAUGUCCGCUGAAAACCAUGUGUUAAAAACUUGGUCCUCAGCCUGAUGCUACCGGAAGAUGCAUCUAGAAGUUCCUUCAGUAGGUGAGGUGUAGUGGGGCACGCUCUAGAAGAGGAAGGGGGAAAUGGGUACAUUUCUCUUUUUGUCUUUUCCAUAAGGUGAGUGGACUUCUUUGGAUAAGCACUCCUGCCAUGCUGUUCUGUGUCACAGUCACAAGACAAGGAAGCCAAUCAGUACCAGACUGAAACCCCCCAAACUGUGAGCCCUCCUUCAGACUGACUUGCCAGCACUCUUCUUAAAGCAGAAAGCUGACUAGCACACCCACCAACCUUCUAUGAACGAGAUUUGAGCUCUGUUCUACUAAUCUUAAUGCAUUCUAUAAUUACAUAGGGAAGUAAGGAUAUUUGGAAGUAGACCAGAGUGUAUCUUGGUUCCGCCUUUAUUAACUGCCAUGCCUUGGACAAGUCACUUCACCUCUCUGGGCACUGAUUUCUCAUUUCUAAAAAUAGGGAUAAUAACAGUCCUGACUUGAUGGCACUCCUACAGGCUAGGAGGUUUCUGAGGGCAGGAACUAUGUUUAUAUACUGUUCUGUCCUCAGCCAGAAUGAGGUUUGAGCUGAGUGUGGCCUUGGAACUUAAGGUAAUACUUCUAUUCUGAAUCCAAUAUUUCCCAAUUGGCUGAGCAGCCUUGGAGAAAUUACCUAAUGUUCCUGAGCCUCAGAUUUCAUACCUAUGGAAUAGAGAUUUUUUAUUCCUCCUUGAAAUGAUUGCUGUGUGGUAAGGUGAGACCUACAAAGGCUUGUGUGGCAGAUGGUUAGCACAUAGGAGGCAGCUGGCAAAGCUUGCUUCUCUCAAAGUCUAGUCUCUGUCCUAGAGUGUUACCUUCACCAACAGGUAUUGAAUUUCCACUUGAUCUGAAAAUCUCGUAUUUGGAUCUUCACCACCACACCCGUCUUUCCCAUUUCUUUCUUUCCUUUCCUUUCCCUGUGUUGCCCUCUCAUUCGGCUCUGCUGUGACUGAGUUCCUCUGGACCAACAGUAGGCCCUGGAUGCUCAGCCCUCUCACUAGCCUCGCCUCCCUCAACCUCUCCUUCCACAACCCUGGGCAGAUCUUGUUCUCAUGGACUGCUUCCAGCACAGGCUACUGCCUCAGCUCUGGCCUAACUGGCUGUGUGAGCCUUCUGGUAAACUCUGGCUUUACUAUGGCAGAACAGUAGAGACAGAAAGAGGGACCUCAAAACAAACACAAGAAACUGGUUAACCCAAAAAGACGGAAUGCGCUUCUCUAACAAAUGGAACACGCACAAGAAAUGGGUUUGCAUACAUGUACCUGCUCUUUGGAGUAUAUGCUCACUGCCAACCCCUUAUUCCUCUCUUUUCUCUCCCCCAUCUCUCGCUCUUGGUUUUUUAUCUUUUUGGCUUUUCGAGACAGGGUUUCUUUAUAUGGUCCUGGCUGUCCAGGAAUUUGCUAUAUACAAGUUGGCCUUGUAUACGAAGGAUGGCCUUGAACAGAGAUCUGCCUGUCUCUGCCUCCCCAGUUGCUGGAGUUAAAGGCAUGUGCCGGCACCCCUGGCCUCUUGAUAGACUGUCCUUAUUUCUGUUUCUAAUCAUGUGACCCAUGCCCAAUUCUUUGCCACAGGACACAAGAACCUAGAUAUGGAUUCAAAUCCCUGCCUCUCACAGCAUCCCUAGUGCCAGCUCACUCUGGGUGGUAGCAACCACCAAUGGCUCCUGGCUGUGAUGGGAUAUUUCCAGAACUUUCUUGGUUUGAGGCUUUACACCUGUCAUCUCUCUUCCUUCUGAGGAUCUGCUGACUGGCACUCUUACUUCCUCAGGCCUCAGCUUACAGGCUGCCUCCUCAGAAAGCCCCCCUCCAUGGCUUAUGCAAAAUAAUACCACAAUUGCUCCUGAUCCCCUCCAUUUCGGCUUCCUUCUUCUCACCUGUAAGUGAUCCAGUAUGAAUUCAUUCAUUCAUUCAUUCAUUCACUCUAUUUUCAGUGACAGGGACUGAAGCCACAUUCUCAAUGUGUGCUAAGUCUGUGUUCUUAAUUUAUUCUUAAUUGUUUCUCUCCCUUAGGUAGCUUGUGAGCAUAUAAAAACAGGUUGUGUGAGCCUUCUGCAGACCAUGACACAUAGUAGGUGCUUAGACAAAACACACCAUGGUUUGAAUGUGUGUGACCACUUAUGAAAUAGUAGGGAGGGGCCUACAGGAUGUGUUAGGCAAUUCCAGGCCUAUAUGGUCCACUGGGCAAAUGACAAGGCCUUAAUGAAGUCAGGUCCCCCUAAAGGCUUCUGUGGAAGUCCUACUGUGUGCACAAUAGGUUCAGGAGCAGGGUCGUGGCAUCAACACAAUGAAAAGCACAGUUCCUGCUGGCUUUUGUGCUCUGUGGCUCCUAUAACAAUUACAAGCUUGGUAGCUUAAAUAGUAAAAAUUUAUUUUCUCACAAUUACUAGACACCAGGACAUCUGAAACUAAGGUGUUAGUUAGCAGGGCUGAGCUCCUUUGGUGGCCUCUCCCCUGUGGAGAGUUGUUUCACUUUCAGCAGCAUAACUUUGAAAGUGUUUUCACUGUGUCUCUCUGUAUCCCAAAUCUCUUUCUUUCUCUGAUAAGAACACACGGUUGAAUAGAAAGCUUGUUCUGAACCUCAAGUGAUCUCUCUUUGAAACCCUUCCUGCUCCAAAGACCCCACUUCCAAAUUAGGUCCCCUUCAUAAGGACUGGAGCUGAGGACCUGGCUGUAUUGUUUAACUCACCACGGUGCCUUCCAGGAAUGUCUUGUCUGAGAGUGGGACAGGCACAGCUUAGCAAUCAGUGUCCCAAGCAAGAGUGAGACCAACCAUUAUGGCCUUAGGCAGAGAUUAUUCAGUAUAUUUUAGUCAAGAUUCAUGCGCAGAGACUUUGCUGGGGAGCAGAGAUGACAAAAUGUAGCCUCUGCCCUGGGAGAGUUCAUGGGAGAAACGGAAGUAAGUCUGCCAGUGGGCCCUGGAGAGGUGGAGGUCGGCCCUGAAGCCCUGGGAGAUGAACCGGGGAGAGGAGUAAUGAGAAGGGUCUGAGGGGAGGGGUUCAGAGAGCUUCUUGGAGGAGGUGUAUGAAACACCGAGGCUCCAAGACUGAGAGAAUAGGAACCAGCUAGGCCAGAAAGCAGGGAAGGAUGAAGGCACAGAGAGUAGUAAGACUGGAUACAUAGAGGUGGAAUGGGGACCCGAGAAAAGUGGCUGCUGCAUUCCCCUCCAGGUCGCACUGGGGAGCCACAGAAAGACCUAGAGAAGGAAAUGAUAUCCCUGGACCUGCAUAUUAAAAUAAAAAGAACAGAAAGCCUGCUGAGGAAAGUGAUUUUCUAGAGGUUUGAAAUUAUAUUUGUGAUUUUUUUUAGAAAGUUUAACCUAUGUACAGAAAAGUGCUCAAGUCACAGAAGUGCAACAGAAAAUGUCCUCACAGACAUACCCACAGGCCCACAGACCAGCCUGAGGAAGGAUAUUUCUCAGGAACAACUGCAAAUGAAGCGCCCCUGUAUGUGAGGACAGCCCUGGGGUUGGGGGAGCAGGGACUAAAAGCUACAAAUGCUAAAAGCUCUGCAGUACAGACCUGACCCAUAGGUCCUUCUCUUAAGCCUGUAAGAGAGUGUGUGGCCCAGGACUGGACUGAACUGGAGCUCCCAGCAUGGUCUGGGGUGGAGAGAUUGAGGAAGGACUCUGUGUGAGCAGGGCAGAUCACUGGACUCUGCUUUUCUUGGCCUCCACUUUCUCUUCAACAGUCUGACAAUAGAAUUACUGCCCUCCUUGUGAUCGGAGUCUAGGGGGCUGACUUGGGGAUGAAAUGAAAAUGUGUUUAUGGUUUAGGGGUAGGGCCCAACCCAGGACAGCAUGUAGGCAAAAGCAGUGGCCAGGAAUUGACUCCAGAUUCCUUGGGGCUGGAGCUCUCUCUAUACAAAAGAAGGAAGUUGGAGAAGACUUUUAAUUCUUUUCUAUUUUUUUUCUCCUUAGAUUGUCUUUUUAGAAUCUUAAAACCCUGAUUCUUUUGUCUAAUUGGGGGACUUGAAGCAGUCUGUGGGAAAUGAAUGGCAUAUUUGAUAAUUAGGUAUCCAGUGUUGGAUGCUCGUCCUAGUUACUGUGAUAAACACCGUGACCGAAAUCAACGGGGAGGAGAGGGGUUAUUUGGAUGUCAGGGCAGGGAUGCAAGGCAGGAACUGAAGGAAAGACCGUGGUGGAGGAGCGCUUCUUACUGGCUUACUUCCUCUAGAUGCUCAGCUACGUUUCUCAUAGAGUCCUGGCCCAGGGAUGACAAUACCCACAAUGGCUUGGACCCUCCCAUAUUAAUCAGAAAUGAAGAAAAUGUCCUCACAGAUAUGCCCGCAAGCCAGUCUAAUGAACGCUAUUCCUCAAGUGAGGUUCCUUCCCUCCUCCCAAGUGACUCUCUCCUCAACUUAACAAAAAACUAACCAACAUAGCACACCUUUACUGAGGCCUGUCAUGUGUGAGACCCGCCCUGCACAGCAGACCACUUGGGAAACUUCCAGGUUAGUAUAAUAUUGUUCCAAGGAAUCUCUUCAUGUCUGAUGGCUGAAGAACUUCCGGGGCCUCAGAGAGAGCAGCAGUAGCUCAGAGUCUACUGGCAGGCACAUUAAGGGCUAAAAUACUGCUUAGGUAAAUACACCACUGCAAGUACCUGUAGUCAGCUCUUAGUGGUCACCCUAGAGUGGGUAGCAGUUGGUUGGAGUCCAGGAAGAUUGUGGGAGCUCCAGCAAAGGGUAUGUGUAAUUGCCAAACCGUUCUGUUUGUUAAGACAUCUGUGGAUAGCAGGAUCUGUCCCUACCUGCCUGGUUCUCCGGGGAGGGGGAGGGGCAGUCAGUCACUAGAACAGAGAUGGUCUCACACACCAUGUUCUUUCCCAGGCUGGAGUAAGUACAGAUGCUAGACUCAAGGGGAGAAGAGUGGUCAGGGAACAGUGCCAGUGCUGGUUGGCAUCUGGGUCAAGCCCAGAAGACUCAUGGAAGUCUCGGAGUGCCAUCUGCAUCUCAUCAGAGGGGCUCUGGGUUGACUUGAGUAGUCAGGCAACUCUGGCAGGCACUGGCUUUAAGGCAUUGACUGAGUUGGAUUUGAGAGCCCUAGAUAGAAUAUCGGGCUAAACACUACAUUUUUCAGAACCAGUUUUUCACCUGCUAACAAUAUCACAAGUGUGGAGGUUUAUACAUAGGCAUAUAUGCUGUUUUUAGGUACUGUAAUUCUUACUAAAUAGUAUUUGUAACUUAUAUUAGGAUGGGGGGUGCCAGGGGCUGUGUCUGUGUACAUCAAUUCCUAGUAAAAUGACCAGCAACUUCUCAGACUCUUUAGGCUGGGACUAAUGAGGGGAAGUUUGGGUCAAGCUGGUAUGCCUGGCGCCUACAGCUGUGUCUCAAAUACUGAGGAAUAAACGAAUUCCACUACUUGGGUUUUCUUCAGGCCAAGCCCACUGAAAUAAAGAAGCUGAGGUUUCCAGAAAAGUCUGCUCCUCCGGUGUAGUUGGCUGGUUGACUGACGGUGGUCCAGUGAUAACGUUAUUGGCCUCUGGGUCGCUUUACACCCCGGUGGAUCUCUGAAACUGCUGUGGCCCCUUUCAUCCAGCCCACUUUCUUCGUGGGACUUAAAAUUGAGCACAGAUCAUGGAAGAUUUUCAUCAUGGUCCUGGGAGUUGGACUCCUAGUACCUGCUAUGGCUACAUUAGGGUCCACCUGGCUUAUUGGCUGGUAGCUAGUUCCCUUGGGAACCAGAACAAUCUUCCUGCACAUUGAGUAAUCUGCUUCCUUUCCCUGCCCGGGGCAAGAGUCGGCUCAGGGAAAGUGAAGAAACCAGUUUGGGGCAGCACUAGGGUGGGCGUGGGCUGGGCACUGCCAGGAACUCUGCGGCAAGACCAGUUUCCAUUGCUUCCGGACCGGAUGCAGGGCUGCGAUCCGGGCGGAGACCAGAGAAUUGCGCCCGUGAGCGCACCUAUGAGAGCCACAUGUUAUUCAGCAGACUGAGUCAAGCAGAUUGUCCUCUCUAACGAGGCUAACUCUUCUCCAGUCAGUUGAAGAGAUGACCUGGACAGAAAGGUAGGAAGAAAAGAAUUGUAGCUUUGAAUAAGACUAUCAGCCUUUGGGGGCUUUGUUCGGUUUUUAUGUUCACAUUCACAAUGUAUCAAUGACCCUUCUUGGGAUGUUAGACCACCCAGCCUUGGACUGAAACCACAAUAUCCACUCUUCUCUAUCUUGGACUUCAGAUAUGGAUCAGAACUAAAUCAUAGACUCUUCCAAGUUUUCAACUGCUGACUCAUCUUGUAAAUCCUGGGACUUUCCUGAGUCUGUGGUAAAUGUCACAUGUGCUGACUCCUUAUAACCCCCCCCUCUCUUAUGCUAACUCACUGUAGAACCUUGAUAAACAACACAAUAGGAUCAUCUUUGUCUCCAUUUGAAUGUAACAUGGCUUCUUCAGCCAUCACCUGUUUUUAUCUGCAGAACAGUUCUCUGGAUCAGACAGAGCAGCCCUCUGAGAAUCCUCACCUACAGAAGAGGAAACUGAGGUCUAAGAGGGAUUCUAUCUGUGCUUCUAUGGCCUAGCUGCCCAGAAGUAGAACAACUUCAACCCCAAAGUCAAGGCCCUGCAGAAAGUCAGGAAGGGUGGAAGAACAGCUACUCUCAAUUUUUAAUAUAGCAUUGGCCAUCAAUUUAGAAACCUCUUGAUAUCCCCUGAGAAGAAAUAAAAGACUAAAAAUGUGGACUUAGGUAAAUCUUAUAAAACAAUAUAGAAGCAAGGUCUAGUAGAAAAGCUGUGUCUAGACUUAAAAGAAGAAAAGCAUUUACCAAUAUUCUAGAUGAAUCAUGGUCUAUUUGGGUUUGAAACAAUUUGAGAGGUUAUUCCUUUUGAUUCUUUCUUUUCACAGUAAGAACACUAAGGCCCAGGGAGGAUCUUUGGCUUGUCCCUCUGUACAGCUUGAGGGGAAGACACUGCCUGCUUAGAGGCCUCAUCUGUCAAUCCAACACUUGAUUGUCUACACUGCAUGCUGAUGCUGACGACCCAGAUGCAGACUGUUUCCUCCAUGUUCUGUCCUCAUGGACUGUCUCUUUGGAAUAUCCCAUGUUCAUAGAUAUCAUCUGAGAUGUCGCCACUCACGGCCCUGCAUUUGUAGUGAAGAUGCUUCAGCCUCAGACAAUCCUGUGUCUCCAUCCCAAUCCCUUCUUACUAAUAGGGGAAAUAUGGCCACACGUCUUGCUCUUCAGGCUCUGGAUUUUGUCAUCAUGGAGGCCCAAACACAGUAUUUAUGACUCAUGGUUUCUCUUGAGGACUACGAGAUGAAGCCGGCAACACAAUAUGGACACUGUAAAUGCUCUACAAAUUGAGGGACAAGCCCUGUAUUAAAGGGGGCCCAGAAUACAUACUGUGUUCAAGGCUAUGUUGAUGCCAGUUCUGUUGGCUCAUGAAGCUAGCAGUGAACCACUCCUGUAUACUGAAGUAGUGGUGACUGUCCCUGUUGCUGUAAGAAGCCCCUUUCUUCUCUGGUCCAUGCUUUUCCAUUUAUAAAAUGGGCACAGUCAGAACUCCUACUGUGCAGGAGCUGAUGGUACUGCUUGGCAAGCCAAGCAAAGGAAAUGAGUAUUCACCCACUUACUAUCUUAUCUCCUCACUUGCUAAGGAAAAGCUAAUAUAUGGUUGGUAGAGUUCAGUAUAUGAUAAGAUUAUCAUUUUAAUUAUCAUUGUCACCAAGUUUCCUGGGAUAGGUGAAGCUCUUGGAUGACAAAGACUUUGACAAAAAUAACGGAUCAAGCAUAUCAGAGGAGUCAGGUAUGGGAACACCUGCCUGUAAUCCCAGAACCUGGGGGGCAGAUGCAGGAGGACUGUUGUUUGAAUAGCCUGGGCUACCUACUGAGUUCUAGGCCAGCCUGGGCUGUAAAAUAAGAUGUUUGUUUUCUGUUUUGUUUUUGUUUUUGUUUUAAAGCAAACAAACAACAAUCUACACAAUGAAACAUUCACCAUGUCUGGAGUCAAAAUGGAAAAUAGCAUAAAUAAGAUUUGUAGA
rnacentral:sRNA from 1 species